UACGUAGGGUGCGAGCGUUAAUCGGAAUUACUGGGCGUAAAGUGUGCGCAGGUGGCCGCGCAAGUCGAGUGUGAAAUCCCCGGGCUAACUUGGGAAUUGCGCUCGAAACUACGUGGCUCGAGUGUGGCAGAGGAAGGUGGAAUUCCACGUGUAGCGGUGAAAUGCGUAGAGAUGUGGAGGAACAGCCGAUGGCGAAGGCAGCCUUCUGGGCCAACAC
rnacentral:rRNA from 1 species